GCCGCGAUGGCCGAGUGGUUUAAGGCGGCAGUCUUAAGUUGUUUAGGCAACUGCUGGGUAUCGUCCCGCGUGAGUUCGAACCUCACUCGCGGCA
rnacentral:tRNA from 1 species